rnacentral:rRNA from 1 species
UACGUAGGGGGCAAGCGUUGUCCGGAUUUAUUGGGCGUAAAGAGCGUAUAGGCGGCUUGGUAGGUCCGCUGUGAAAACUCGAGGCUCAACCUCGAGAUGUCGGCGGAAACCACUUGGCUAGAGUCCGGAAGAGGAGAGUGGAAUUCCUGGUGUAGCGGUGAAAUGCGCAGAUAUCAGGAAGAACACCUAUGGCGAAGGCAGCUCUCUGGGACGGUACUGACGCUGAGACGCGAAAGCGUGGGGAGCGAACAGG